UGGAGACGUAUUCCCUCUCUUCAUGAAACUUAAAUCGUUGUACCAAGAUUCAAGAAAGAACACGAAGACGUAGAUAUUUGGGUGCAGGUAUUGCCAAGGUGAGUCCAAAACAAAGUGGGAGGGAGAUGCAGCUCCGGUCACAAAGCAGAGGAGAGGGAGUGCUGCGUGGGAGACGCCAGGCGGAAAAAGAGUGGAAGAUGGAAGCACAGGGGGCCCCUUGCUAUAGGCUGCUAUGUGCGGGAAAGGAUCGGCUAACACGGUACAACACUCUGCUACUCAUUUAUUUAAUCUGUGUGUUUCGCCUCAUAAAGGCACAGCAAAGCCGAGGCAAGAAAUCAAAAGACCUCUAAUUCCAUUUCAGGACCCCAAGCCUCAUCCAUCAACAGCAACCCAAGAAGAAAAGCAAGUAAGCAGCUCCCGCCCAGUAAUAACACCAUAUUUAACAGGAUUAAAAGCUCAACAUGUUACAGCUACUGAUUGGCACCUCAUUUGAAUUUUGCAUGUGAACAAAUCCGUGCCUCUAUAUGAAGACUAUUUCCUGCUGGCACUGUGAAUAAAGAAGAAUGGCAGAUUUCUUUUAUAGAGCUUUAGUAACAUUUCCAGGAUUGUCGUCUGACUCAGUACCAUUAUUAUGGUUUAAUCCUGUAUAUUCUAACACAGACAGCUUAGUACACAAUUGCCGGGACCUUCUUUAGACAAAAUUAUAAUGGCAGCAGAUAUUAUUCUUCUUGGGCAUCGAAUACCUAAUAAAUGUUACAGCAAAAAGGCUUUAUUUACCAAUCUAAAUGAAAUGCACUGCUGAAAUUUGCCUAAAUAAUCACAAACAUAGACAUUGUCUGGCGUAAGGUUUUUGUGCUAAUGGAGAAAUGCAUGUGAAUGCCAGGCAUGAGUGCUUUUCCACCCAAAAGUCCUCUGGUGACCCUGGCAGAUAAUAGCCCAAAUGAAUAGUAGUAAAAUCUGCUAGAAAUAGCAUUAAGAUAUUAUAUACAGGCACAGGGCAGUCAUGCAGUGGUAAUCCUUACAGUUACAGUUAGGAUAACUAUUCAUCCAGUGGAUUGUAAGCUCUUGUGAGCAGGGCCCUUAAAAGCUAUUUUAAUUAUUGUAAAACCCUGGUUGUAAUACAUUACUGUUAAAUACUCAAUAACUUGCUGUAUAAAUGAUGAUGAUAAUGAUGAGGUACACUCAUCAACAGUGCAAUCGCUUAGGGCUCUGGUACACGGG